AACUACAGUCAAGUGACUGGUUUCUAAGUCUCCUUUUCCUUUGCUGAGUGAACAUGAUGCUACAAUAAGGCAGAAUGAAUAGCUCCAGAGGGUCACACUCACUGUCUGAUUGCAUGGAGCUGGGUCUGACCUGAGCAAAGCACAGUGGAAGAAAGAAAAUGAUAAGGAAAGAUGACAAGAGUCCAAUCACUCCCAAGUCCUCAGUUUCCACUGUUGCCUCUACCUUGCUGUGAUGUCCACUUCUAGAUGGAUCCUGGCUCUCAUGUCUGCGAUGACCCUUUGUAACUCAGGGGAAGAACCCACCAACACAGCCUAUCAUGCUUCCUCAACUAUUACCCUGGGUUUGAAGAAGAGAGACUAUGCACAGAGCCCUGGCUCACUUCAUUCUCGUUGCUAUCCUCUCUUCCCACAUAUGGGGGUUUCAGCCCCUGAGCCUGCUUGUCAGCAGUGGACCGCUGCCUCUUUAAUGGGUAUUUGUGGUCAAUGAUGCAUGAGGCAUUGGUACUACAUCCUCUUUAAUGUGGAGGUUUUAGGUCAGGGAGACAUGGGGCAUUCAUAUUGUAUGCAUCAGCGUCUGCAUAUCCCAGGACGAUCCAAGACUUUGCAAGGAUCAAGAGAUCCCCAAACUUACAGAACUAAUUAGGAUCAGAUUCUGGGACUGGGAGCCGACUUGUCUGAUGUCCAGUCUCAACGAUCCAUGGCUUUGCCUUCAGAGGAUGAGUGACUGAAAGAGUGGUAUUUGAGAACGUUCUGUUCGGAUGCA
rnacentral:lncRNA from 1 species